CAAACCUCUAGAACCAGGCUGCUACAGAACACUGGCACCAGGAUGUUUAUCUAGAAGAAAAAGUAAUGGAGACUGUAUCAUUAGAGUGGAGAACUACAAUAAAAAUCUCAGGCCUGGAAUGCCUGAACAAUACCAAUUUACCACAGGAGUCCAACAUCGAAGCCUUGUUUGCCAGACUUGGAAUUCCUGAAAGGAUUAUCUCUGACAAUGAGCCGCAGUGGUACUCAGAAGAAUUUCCUCAUUUUGCCAAAACUUGGGCUGUUUGAAUCCUGCACAGUCAGUCCACAUUACCACAGAGCCAGACUCUAGUGAUGGAGCAGUGGUAACAAGAAGAAUGAAACUCUCAAAUGCAUUGGACUAAACAGAGACUAAUGAUAAAGGCCCCUGCCUCAGCCUCAGACUAUUUGGAGCAAGGAAUGCAUUGUGGGCAGCUCUCUCCCCUGUUCUCUCCCCAGUUAUUACAGCCUCAGCAUCUCCCCUCAGUACUAUCGUCUAUGCAUGGAAUGUGGAGGCUCACAGCAGCCAGUCUCCCCCUCACACAAAUACUGGAAAACUGAACCAAAAAAGAAACAAUAAGAAACUUAGACUACCAGGCCCUAUCCUUUAGAUUGAAUUAUUGACAUCAAACAUUGAGGCAGAAGUGCUUCCUGCCAGUGUUCACUUAUUUUUAAGGUAAUGUCAUCCAUAGUUUUCAUGAAUACCCUAGAAAAAGAAUAUUUUAAUUAGUUCAAUCAUAAUUGCGUCUCAUAAUUGAGACUCUAAUAUGGAGCUAGAUUUGUGUUGAUGAAGCGUAAUCUUGCCUCAGUUAAGGAUUUUCCAGUGGCAAAUAAUAGCAAUCACUCAAGGU
rnacentral:lncRNA from 1 species